UCCUACGGGAGGCAGCAGUGGGGAAUAUUGGACAAUGGGGGGAACCCUGAUCCAGCCAUGCCGCGUGUGUGAAGAAGGCCUUUUGGUUGUAAAGCACUUUAAGCGAGGAGGAGGCUACCGAGAUUAAUACUCUUGGAUAGUGGACGUUACUCGCAGAAUAAGCACCGGCUAACUCUGUGCCAGCAGCCGCGGUAAU
rnacentral:rRNA from 1 species